rnacentral:rRNA from 1 species
AACGAACGCUGGCGGCAGGCCUAACACAUGCAAGUCGAGCGGACCCUUCGGGGUUAGCGGCGGACGGGUGAGUAACGCGUGGGAACGUGCCCUUUGCUUCGGAAUAGCCCUGGGAAACUGGGAGUAAUACCGGAUACGCCCUUUUGGGGAAAGAUUCAUCGUCGAAGGAUCGGCCCGCGUUGGUUUAGGUAGGUGGGGGGGUAAUGGCCUAUCAAGCCGACGAUCCAUAGCUGGUUUGAGAGGAUGAUCAGCCACACUGGGACUGAGACACGGCGGAGACUCCUACGGGAGGCGGGAGUGGCGGAUCUUAGCCAAUCGGGGAAAUGAUGAACUAGCCAGGCCGCGUGAGCGAUGAAGGCCUGAGGGUUGUAAAGCACUUUCACCCGGCAAGAUUAUGACGGUACCCAAAGAAGAAGCACCGGCUAACUUCGUG